rnacentral:rRNA from 1 species
UGACCGUGCUAAGGUAGCAUAAUCAUUUGCCCUUUAAUUGGGGGGUAGAAUGAAUGGAAAAAAGAAAUUUUAGGUGUGUCACACUUGGUAAUUAAAAAUUAAACUUAAAGUGAAGAUGCUUUAAUCGUUUUGAAAGACAAGAAGACCCCGUAGAGUUUAAGAUUAAAAACUACCAGUGAAAUACCCAUCUUUAGUUGGGGCGACUCUGGAUAAAAUAAAUCAUCCUUCAAAAAAAAAACUUUAUGUUACUAAAUUGAUCCUACUUUAGAAUUAAAAAAUAAACACCUCGG